GGACCUACUCGGGAGACGCCGCUGGCUCUCUAGGAACACCUGGGGACCGUGGCCAGGGACGACCCAGCCUCCUUCUCCUCAGCUCCUCAGGAACGACUGGGGAAGCUGUGGCUUCAUGGUCCCCGAGGCUGCCCGAGGAAAGACAGAGUCUCAACCAGGCUGGAGUGCAGUGGCGUGAUCUCGGCUCACUGCAACCUCCGCCUCCCAGGUUCAAGCGAUUCUCCUGCCUCAGCCUCCUGAGUAGCUGGUAUUACAGGUAUUUCAGGACAGCCAGGAGGGGGCGCACAUCCGCCGCGAAACUGUGAGCAAGAGCGUCUGUGCUGAACCAUGGCGCCACCAGAGGGCGCGCGAUCCCGCCCCAACCAACUUCCCGCUGAAGUGCCAGAAGCAGCGAGGAGCUUCAACUUCCUCAGGGCAGCACGGGGGUCGUGUUAAUUUGGUGUUCUUCAUUGAUGAUGAUUAUUCCCCACCUUCUAAGAGACAAAGACCAACGAGCCACCACAGCCACCAGUCCCAGAACCUGCCAAUGCUGGGGAACGGAAAAUGAGGGAGUUCAACUCUGGCCCUCACAAUCCAGUGGAGGAGACGAAACUCAUCUGCCUCUGUCCCUCUGGGCACGCCUCAUGCCAGGUGCAUCUGUGGACAGGGGCCAUGCUCCUGGGCUUCCAAAGUUGGAGAAAGCUGCCAGGCUCAGGUCUGAAGGCCAGAAUUCUACAGUAAGUCCUACUGAGUCAAGGUGGGAGCAGGGUCGGUAGCUUCCGAGGCUCUGCGGGAGAAUCCGUUUCCUGGCCGUAGAGGUGGCCUGCACUCCGCAGCUUGUGCUGCCCGUCUCGAAUGACUGGAGUUUCCUGCUUCUGUCACUACACCUCCCACCCUCUCCAUCACCUGCUCUGCUCUUACAAGGAUCCGAAGAAAUGGAAUCAUCGUAUCGCUGAUCUACGUAAACAAACUGAAGAAUUGUCUGAAAGAAAAUAUGGUAUGUCUAAACUGGAAAAGUCUUGUAAUCUUAGGUUCAUGGGCGUUUACACAGUGGAGUUACUGUUCAUCAUGGGGGUACCGUGGACAAUCCCAGGGCUGCCGGCGAGUCAUGCCAUCCUUAUAUGUUUCUCCUUGUAAGGUGCUUUGUAGUGUCUACACACUUUGUUUCUAGAUUGCUGCAAAGCUGAGGAAAAGUUGUAUUUCUUUAGUUAUUAGUUAGCAUUUCUUUUAAACUUUCAGUAUGGAGAUUGGAAAUUUAUUUACAUAUUUAUUGCAAAGCCCUGGAUCUUAGGAAUUUCAUUGAAUUAUUUAUUUAUUUUUUUUGAGACGGAGCCUCACUCUGUCGCCCAGGCUGGAGUGCAGUGGCACGAUCUCGGCUCACUGCAACCUCCGCCUCCCGGGUUCAAGCAGUUCUCUGCCUCAGCCUCCCGAGCAGCUAGGAUUACAGGCACCAGCCACCACGCCUGGCUGAUUUUUGUAUUUUUAGUAGAGACGGGGUUUCAUGAUCUUGGCU
ensembl:lncRNA FAM157C family with sequence similarity 157 member C